UACGGAGGGUGCAAGCGUUAAUCGGAAUUACUGGGCGUAAAGGGUGCGUAGGUUGUUGAUUAAGUUAUCUGUGAAAUUCCUGGGCUCAACCUGGGCAGGUCAGAUAAUACUGAUGAACUAGAGUAUAGGAGAGGGUAGUGGAAUUUCCGGUGUAGCGGUGAAAUGCGUAGAGAUCGGAAGGAACACCAGUGGCGAAGGCGGCUACCUGGCCUGAUACUGACACUGAGGCACGAAAGCGUGGGGAGCAAACAGG
rnacentral:rRNA from 1 species